rnacentral:rRNA from 1 species
GAAGAACCUUACCUGGGUUUGACAUACACCAGAAAGCUAUAGAGAUAUGGCCCCCCUUGUGGUUGGUGUACAGGUGGUGCAUGGCUGUCGUCAGCUCGUGUCGUGAGAUGUUGGGUUAAGUCCCGCAACGAGCGCAACCCUUGUCCUGUAUUGCCAGCACGUAAUGGUGGGGACUUGCAGGAGACUGCCGGGGUCAACUCGGAGGAAGGUGGGGAUGACGUCAAGUCAUCAUGCCCCUUAUGUCCAGGGCUUCACACAUGCUACAAUGGCGCGUACAGAGGGCUGCGAGACCGUGAGGUGGAGCGAAUCCCUUAAAGCGCGUCUCAGUUCGGAUUGGGGUCUGCAACUCGACCCCAUGAAGUCGGAGUCGCUAGUAAUCGCAGAUCAGCAACGCUGCGGUGAAUACGUUCCCGGGUCUUGUACACACCGA